AGUAGCAAGGUUAAGCACUUAAGGUUCGGAGCCGUAGCGAAAGCGAGUUUUAACUGAGCGUUCAGUUACUGGACGUAGACCCGAAACCGGGCGACCUACCCAUGAGCAGGAUGAAGCGAAAGUAAAAGUUCGUGGAGGUCCGAACCCACGAGCGUUGAAAAGCUCGGGGAUGACUUGUGGGUAGCGGUGAAAUUCCAAGCGAGCCCGGAGAUAGCUGGUUCUCCCCGAAAUAGCUUUAGGGCUAGCCGCAAGGUG
rnacentral:rRNA from 1 species